rnacentral:rRNA from 1 species
GAUGAACGCUAGCGGCAGGCCUAAUACAUGCAAGACGAACGGUAAGUUGAGUAGCAAUACUUAGCCAAGAGUGUCGUACGGGUGCGUAACACGUAUGCAACCUACCCUAUACAGGAGGAUAGCCUAGGGAAACCUGGAUUAACCCUUCAUAGUAUUAUUGGAUGGCAUCAUUUGAUAAUUAAAACUGAGGUGGUAUAGGAUGGGCAUGCGUCUGAUUAGUUAGUUGGCGGGGUAAUGGCCCACCAAGACGAUGAUCAGUAGGGGUUCUGAGAGGAAGAUCCCCCACACUGGCACUGAGAUACGGGCCAGACUCCUACGGGAGGCAGCAGUAGGGAAUAUUGGUCAAAUGGAUGCAAGUCUGAACCAGCCAUGCCGCGUGCAGGAAGAAGGCCUUCUGGGUUGUAAAACUGCUUUUGCCAGGGGGAUAAAAAUUUCCAUGCGUGGAAAAACUGAAGGUACCCGGUGAAUAAAGCCACGGCUAACUACGUGCCAGCAGCCGC